rnacentral:rRNA from 1 species
CCCUACGGGGCGCAGCAGGCCGCCGAGCUCCUCCUGGAGCGCCAAUUGGAAGCCAUCGAGGCCCUCAAGGCCAAAGGCAUCGUCAUCAAGAUCAACACCAUCGUGAUCCCAGGGGUGAAUGACCACCACGUGGAAGAAGUGGCCAAAAAGAUGGCCGAAUUGGGUGUGGACUUGCUCAACUGCAUGCCCAUGUUUCCCAACGCCGACACACCCUUCGAGUCCGUCCCGGAGCCCGGUCGGGAGCAGAUGGCGGCAAUCCGCAAAAAGGCGGAA